rnacentral:rRNA from 2 species
UGCUUAACACAUGCAAGUCGAACGGCAGCAUGACCUAGCUUGCUAGGUUGAUGGCGAGUGGCGAACGGGUGAGUAACGCGUAGGAAUAUGCCUUGAAGUGGGGGACAACUUGGGGAAACUCAAGCUAAUACCGCAUGAUGUCUAAGGACGAAAGCUGGGGACCUUUUAGGCCUGGCGCUUUAAGAUUAGCCUGCGUCCGAUUAGCUAGUUGGUGGGGUAAGGGCCUACCAAGGCGACGAUCGGUAGCUGGUCUGAGAGGAUGACCAGCCACACUGGAACUGAGACACGGUCCAGACUCCUACGGGAGGCAGCAGUGGGGAAUAUUGGACAAUGGGGGGAACCCUGAUCCAGCAAUGCCGCGUGUGUGAAGAAGGCCUGAGGGUUGUAAAGCACUUUCAGUGGGGAGGAGGUUUGCUAGGUUAAGAGCUAGGCGAAUGGACGUUACCCACAGAAGAAGCACCGGCUAACUCCGUGCCAGCAGCCGCGGUAAUACGGAGGGUGCGAGCGUUAAUCGGAAUUACUGGG